rnacentral:lncRNA from 1 species
GUCCAAGGUUAUCCUCAGCUACAAGUUCCAGUUUCUUUACCAGUCCUUGGGAUACAGAAGUCACUCUGGAGUCGUCUGUUUCAAUGACACCUCAAGCCAGCUGAAUGUAGAAUUCAGAAGGAGAGUAAUAUCGAAGGGCUAUAAGGAGGAGGAUGGAUGACCUUAAAGCAGCUGCAGAGGAAGUCUGUACCCAGUCCAGCUUUCCCACAGCUAUUGUGGUGGUUUGAAUGAGAACCUCCCCACCUCCACCAGACUCCUAUAUUUGAAUCCUUGGUUCCCAGUUGGAGGAACUGUUUGGAAAGGAUUAAGAGCAUGGCCUUAUGGAGGAGGUGUGCCACUGGGGUCAAGCUUUAAGGUUUCAAAGGCCACCCCACUCCCAGUUAGCUCUCUCUGCCUCAUGGUUGUAUCUCAAGAUGAGGUUCUAAGCUACUGUUCCAGUGUCGCGCCUGCCUGCCUGCCUGCUGCCAUGCUCCCAGCUAUAACAGCCUCUGAAAC